rnacentral:rRNA from 1 species
UACGUAGGGUGCGAGCGUUAAUCGGAAUUACUGGGCGUAAAGCGUGCGCAGGUGGUUUCGUAAGUCAGAUGUGAAAUCCCCGGGCUUAACCUGGGAAUGGCAUUUGAGACUGCGAAGCUAGAGUACGGCAGAGGGAGGUGGAAUUCCACGUGUAGCAGUGAAAUGCGUAGAUAUGUGGAGGAACACCGAUGGCGAAGGCAGCCUCCUGGGCCAGUACUGACGCUCAUGCACGAAAGCGUGGGGAGCAAACAGG